CGGAGCAGAGAGCAGCCCCCCGGAAGCCCAGGAGAGGUGCCUGCGCCAGCAGCGACCCUGCAAGAAGUGUCCAUGGGGCCCAGCUCCGCUGCACUGCCACAGACAGGUUUUUGAUUACCACAGAACACCUGUGCUUCGCUACAUCUCUGGACUCGGUGGGUUACACUGGCCUACCCUAGAGAAAAACAACCAGAGCGUGACUUCCGGCCCAAGGAAGCCAGGACCAGUUCUUCCUCAUCCUUCUUCUGCGGCAGCUGCUAUGAACCACUGAUCAAGGCUCCGUUGGUAAAAAGCCAGCUGUCAUGUUGUGAGCUGCCCUACUCAAACUCGCAUGUGUCAAGGAACUAGAAAGGCCUAGGUCCAUGGCCCAAGGAAUCUGGAUUCUGUCUAUAACAAUAGGCAUGAGCUUGAAAGUAGGUCUGGUGGCAGAAGGGAGAUGACACAGCCGCCUGGACAACUUGGUCAUGACCUGUGAGUGACUGUAAAUCAGAGGACACAGAAAUGGACAUUUGAUAGAAUGACAGUGAUUGUGGUUGGCAGAACAAUAGCCCCUCAAAGAUGUCUAUGUUCUAAUGCUUGAGAAUCUCUGAAAAUGUCAUUAUAUGGUGAGGGGACAUUGAAUUUACAAAUCAGCUGACUCUGCAAGGGGGAGAUUGUGCCAACGAGUCCAAUACAAUUGCAGGGUCCUUAUAAAAUAAAGAGGGAAGCAGGAGGAGCAACAUCUGAGAAAUGCGGUAAAAUAUUGCUGGCUGUGAAGAUAUCACAAGGAGACACAGACGAGAAAAUGCAGGGAGCCUCAGGAAACUGGAAAAGUUGAGGAAGCUGAUCCUUGCUCUGGCAGGAACCUGGUCCUGCUCCCUGCGAUUAACACCUGUCGCUGAAUGUUGACGAAUGUUUAUGGUGGACAUUUUCCAGUAGGCUGCAGCUCCUUAGAAAGAAGAUUCUCGUCCUUGCUUCCAAAAUACCCAAGACAGAGGUCUCAUGUGAUGAUUCCAUAAAUUCUUAUAGGAGAGGAGAAGAGAAGUAAACCCAUGAGAGAGAUAA